AACGAUCGCUGGCGGCAUGCCUAACACAUGCAAGUCGAACGAUGGCUUCGGCCAUCGUGGCGCACGGGUGCGUCACGCGUGGGAAUCUGCCCUUGGGUUCGGCACAACCGUUGGACACGACGGCUAAUCCCGGAUGACGUCGCUCAGACCAAAGAUUUAGCGCCCGGGGCUGAGCCCGCGUAGGAGGGGCUGGGUGGGGGGGUAAGGGCGCGGCAGGGGGAGGGGGCUGAGCUGGUCUGAGAGGAUGAUCAGCCACACUGGGACUGAGACACGGCCCAGACUCCUACGGGAGGCAGCAGUGGGGAAUAUUGGACAAUGGGCGAAAGCCUGAUCCAGCAAUGCCGCGCGAGUGAUGAAGGCCUUAGGGUUGUAAAGCUCUUUUACCCGGGAUGAUAAUGACAGUACCGGGAGAAUAAGCCCCGGCUAACUCCGUGCCAGCCGCCGCAGUAAAAC
rnacentral:rRNA from 1 species